rnacentral:rRNA from 1 species
AUGCUGCCGAAGCUGACGUAGACCACGGAGCUGGGCUCCUUGUCGUCGAGCCACCGGACGCAGUCGUCGGCGUCGAUGGCUGCGGUGUUCCCUCUCGCCGCCAGCGUCGUGGCGUGCUGGUGGUAGAGAGAGACCGGCCCCACGGUCCACACCUUCAUCCCCCUUGCGGCCGCGUAG